rnacentral:lncRNA from 1 species
AUGUUAAUAUUAUGUUUUAUUUUAUUUUUAUUUUGAACAAAUAUGUAUAGUUCAUUUUAUAUGUGUUUCCGAAUCAAUACUCCUGUCCUGGAUCCCUGCGCUACUUACUCAUGUGUCUUAUUCUGAAAUUAACGUUUCAGAUGAUAUAAUGAGUUUUCGGUCAUUUCCUGACAAUGGAAUUUCAUGUGUUGGAGAAACACAUAAAACUUCUCCUGGUGUCAAACUGACAACUUACCUAUAUACAUUGUGGGAUGCUUACAGAAUCAAUAGAUUUUUUCUUAAUUUCCAAAAUCAUUAUAUAAGAGAUCCAUUCAUAAGAGACUUACAAUAUAUAAUAUCAAUUUAUUUACGAGGCUCUGUAACAAUUAUAUAU